GUGACCUGCAAACCUUUUAUUUGCAAAAUACAUAAAGUAGGCGGCAGGAAGUAGCGGUUUAUACCUGUAAUCCCAGCACUUACGGAGGCCAAGGCGGGAGGAUCCCUUGAGCUCAGGAGUUGAAGACCAGCCUGGGCAACACAGUGAGACCCUAUCUACAAAAAAAUACAAAAAUUAGCUGGGUGUGGUGGCCAGCUAUUGGAGAGAGGCUGAGGUGGAAGGAUUGCUUGAGCCUGGGAGGUGGAAGCUGCAGUGAGCUGAGAUAGCCACUGCACUCCAGCCUGGGCGGCAGAGCAAGACUCUGUCUCAAAAAAAGUUGAGGCCGGGCACGGUGGCUCACAUAUGUAACCCCAGCACUUUGGGACGCCAAAGUGGGCGGAUCACCUGAGGUCAGGAGUUUGAGACUCACCUGGCUAACAUGGUGGAAACCCGUCUCUACUAAAAAUACAAAAAUUAGCCAGGGGUGGUGGCCUGCGCCUGUAAUCCCAGUUACUCGGGAGGCUGAGGCAGGAGAUGCGCUUGAACCCGGGAGGCGGAGGUUGUAGUGAGCUGAGAUGGCGCCACUGCACUCCAGCCUGGGCAACAGAGGGAGACUUCGUCUCGGGGGAGGGGGGGAAGUUUGGAGUCACGCCGCCACCACCCUUUUAAGGACGCCUGGAGCUCCCAGAGCCCCCAGGAGCUGAAAGAAGCAGGAAGGAUCCUCCCUACAGCCUCUGGAGGGAUCGCGGCCCCCAUUACCUUUUCAAAAGGUCACCUUUCCCCGCGGUGUGACCCUCGAAAGCUAGAUGUGCCCAGGAAACAGCAGCCCAGGCCCUGCACCAUCCUCCCGCUCCCUCUGGCCGCCGUGCCUCAGCCAGCGCUGCCCCUGUCCCGCCUGUGCCCUCCCCAGGGCCCCUCGCCGCCGCCCCCUGCCGCCUCCCGAUCUGGUCAAACUCCCGGGCACGAGCCCCGCGUGCAGGCGCCGGGCCUGGGCUCCUGUGGCCGUCCCGCCAGCGCCCGUCUUCCGUCCCUGCAUUUAGAGAAGGACGAUGGCAAAGGCACCCGCCCGCUGACCCCUUACAGGUGAGGAAACUGAGGUAAGACGGUCGGGGCUGGCUGCAGGGCGUGUCGGGCCCUCGGGGCAGUCGCCCAGACCACCCGGACGGCCCCGCUCGCAGCCUUCGCCCGCGCCCGCCAACUUUUCAACCGACCGUCGCGUGCCGUUUACUUCCGCCUUGGGAGGUCAUUUCCGGGUCCCGGCAGGAAGGGCCGGGCGCGCGCGACGUCAGCGCGCGACGCAGCCAUCUUGGCUCCUGGCAGCGGCGGCCCAGGCCUCGGUCGUGGGCUGGGCGGCCAUAUUGGAGUCGGGCAGGGGUCUCAUAUCCGGUCACUCUCCACUGGCGAUGAUCGAUUGCACUUGACGGUCGCGACGCUGAUCGAGAGUCGCUCGCAUUGCUCGAAGUUUUCUGCAACUCCAGGACCGUAAAAUGUCUCGAAGAUGGCGAAAGGCGUAGCCCCCUGCAGAAUCAGAUGAUCCAGAAGGAUGCCCACUGUCUUUUUGGUCCAUUUCAGUUGUAAACCAAGAAAUACCCGGGACAGGCCUCGGUGGGCUUCGGAGCGUGUCUCGGCAAGGUCGAGGUCUUUCUCCAGCGAUGGUUUUGAGCCUCUGUAUUAAAAGGGGGAAAGUGGGCUGUGGGGUAUCCUGUUUCUGAGCCCAUGGUGGGAAGAGAAAAGGAGUGGGCGGGGAUCGCUGAUGAUGCGUCCCCAAGAUGAGGGGAACGGAGAGUGCGAUCUGAUCCGGCGUCUGUAGUUACCUGUCCAGGAACACAGGGAGAGGCAGUCCCUUGCCCGGCUCGGUCUUCAGCUUCGUUUUGUCCUUUUGGCAGCCUGAAUUGGGGUCCUGAGCUUCUCCUUUCCUUUCACACCGUCCUCCACAGUUUCCCAAAUGGGUUGUGGAAUGCUUAUUCCCCGGCACACCUGUGAGAUCCCAGGCAGAAGCCAGUGUACAGAAACGCGUUGCAUCAGUAGGGAUUCUCGAGAG
rnacentral:lncRNA from 1 species